GACGAAGGGGGCUAGCGUUGCUCGGAAUGACUGGGCGUAAAGGGCGCGUAGGCGGCCUGUUAAGUCGAACGUGAAAUCCCCGGGCUCAACCCGGGAACUGCGUCCGAUACUGGCAGGCUUGAAUUCGGGAGAGGGAUGCGGAAUUCCAGGUGUAGCGGUGAAAUGCGUAGAUAUCUGGAGGAACACCGGUGGCGAAGGCGGCAUCCGUGGACCGAGAUUGACGCUGAGGCGCGAAAGCCAGGGGGAGCAAACGGG
rnacentral:rRNA from 1 species